UACGUAGGGGUGCGAGCGUUAAUCGGAAUUACUGGGGCGUAAAAGCGUGCGCAGGCGGUUUUUCCAAGACAGAUGUGAAAAUCCCCCGGGGCUCAACCUGGGGAAUGGCAUUUUGUGACUGGAAGGCUAGAGUGUGUCAGAGGGGGGGGUAGAAUUCCACGUGUAGCAGUGAAAAUGCGUAGAGAUGUGGAGGGAACACCAGUGGCGAAGGCGAGUCCCCUGGGACACUUCCUGACACUGAGGCACGAAAAGCUAGGGGGAGCAAAACAGGG
rnacentral:rRNA from 1 species